rnacentral:rRNA from 1 species
GUCCACGCCGUAAACGAUGAGUGCUAAGUGUUAGAGGGUUUCCGCCCUUUAGUGCUGAAGUUAACGCAUUAAGCACUCCGCCUGGGGAGUACGGCCGCAAGGCUGAAACUCAAAGGAAUUGACGGGGCCCGCACAAGCGGUGGAGCAUGUGGUUUAAUUCGAAGCAACGCGAAGAACCUUACCAGGUCUUGACAUCCUCUGAAAAACCCUAGAGAUAGGGCUUCUCCUUCGGGAGCAGAGUGACAGGUGGUGCAUGGUUGUCGU